rnacentral:rRNA from 1 species
GGGGAAUAUUGGACAAUGGACCACAAGUCUGAUCCAGCAAUUCUGUGUGCACGAUGACGUUUUUCGGAAUGUAAAGUGCUUUCAGUCGGGAAGAAGUCAGUGACGGUACCGACAGAAGAAGCGACGGCUAAAUACGUGCCAGCAGCCGCGGUAAUACGUAUGUCACAAGCGUUAUCCGGAUUUAUUGGGCGUAAAGCGCGUCUAGGCGGCAAGGAAAGUCUGAUGUGAAAAUGCGGAGCUCAACUCCGUAUGGCGUUGGAAACUGCCUUACUAGAGUACUGGAGAGGUAGGCGGAACUACAAGUGUAGAGGUGAAAUUCGUAGAUAUUUGUAGGAAUGCCGAUGGGGAAGCCAGCCUACUGGACAGAUACUGACGCUAAAGCGCGAAAGCGUGGGUAGCAAACAGGAUUAGAUACCCUGGUAGUCCACGCUGUAAACGAUGAUUACUAGGUGUUGGGGGUCAAACCUCAGCGCCCAAGCUAACGCGAUAAGUAAUCCGCCUGGGGAGUACGUACGCAAGUAUG